AGAGUUUGAUCCUGGCUCAGAGUGAACGCUGGCGGCGUGCCUAAUACAUGCAAGUCGAACGGACAAGUAAGAGCUUGCUCUUAUGAGUUAGUGGCGCACGGGUGAGUAAUGUAUAGUUAAUCUGCCCUACACUGGAGGACAACAGUUAGAAAUGACUGCUAAUACUCCAUACUCCUUCUUAACACAAGUUAAGUCGGGAAAGUUUUUUCGGUGUAGGAUGAGACUAUAUUGUAUCAGCUAGUUGGUGAGGUAAUGGCUCACCAAGGCUAUGACGCAUAGCUGGUCUGAGAGGAUGAUCAGUCACACUGGAACUGAGACACGGCCCAGACUCCUACGGGAGGCAGCAGUAGGGAAUAUUGCUCAAUGGGGGAAACCCUGAAGCAGCAACGCCGCGUGGAGGAUGACACUUUUCGGAGCGUAAACUCCUUUUGUUAGGGAAGAACAAUGACGGUACCUAACGAAUAAGCACCGGCUAACUCCGUGCCAGCAGCCGCGGUAAUACGGAGGGUGCAAGCGUUACUCGGAACCACUGGGCGUAAAGGACGCGUAGGCGGAUUAUCAAGUCUUUUGUGAAAUCUAAUGGCUCAACCAUUAAACUGCUUGAGAAACUGAUAAUCUAGAGUGAGGGAGAGGCAGAUGGAAUUGGUGGUGUAGGGGUAAAAUCCGUAGAGAUCACCAGGAAUACCCAUUGCGAAGGCGAUCUGCUGGAACUUAACUGACGCUAAUGCGUGAAAGCGUGGGGAGCAAACAGGAUUAGAUACCCUGGUAGUCCACGCCCUAAACGAUGUAUACUAGUUGUUGCUGUGCUAGUCAUGGCAGUAAUGCACCUAACGGAUUAAGUAUACCGCCUGGGGAGUACGGUCGCAAGAUUAAAACUCAAAGGAAUAGACGGGGACCCGCACAAGCGGUGGAGCAUGUGGUUUAAUUCGAAGAUACGCGAAGAACCUUACCUGGGCUUGAUAUCCUAAGAACCUUGUAGAGAUACGAGGGUGCUAGCUUGCUAGAACUUAGUGACAGGUGCUGCACGGCUGUCGUCAGCUCGUGUCGUGAGAUGUUCGGUUAAGUCCGGCAACGAGCGCAACCCACGUAUUUAGUUGCUAACAGUUCGGCUGAGCACUCUAAAUAUACUGCCUUCGUAAGGAGGAGGAAGGUGUGGACGACGUCAAGUCAUCAUGGCCCUUAUGCCCAGGGCGACACACGUGCUACAAUGGCAUAUACAAUGAGACGCAAUAUCGCGAGAUGGAGCAAAUCUAUAAAAUAUGUCCCAGUUCGGAUUGUUCUCUGCAACUCGAGAGCAUGAAGCCGGAAUCGCUAGUAAUCGUAGAUCAGCCAUGCUACGGUGAAUACGUUCCCGGGUCUUGCACACACCGCCCGUCA
rnacentral:rRNA from 1 species